GACGGGGGGGGCAAGUGUUCUUCGGAAUGACUGGGCGUAAAGGGCACGUAGGCGGUGAAUCGGGUUGAAAGUGAAAAGUCGCCAAAAAGUGGCGGAAUGCUCUCGAAACCAAAUUCACUUGAGUGAGACAGAGGAGAGUGGAAUUUCGUGUGUAGGGGUGAAAUCCGUAAAUAUACGAAGGAACGGCCAAAGCGAAGGACAGCUCGUCUGGGUCCCUACCCGACGCUGGGGUGCGAAAGC
rnacentral:rRNA from 1 species